AACGGCGUCAGGUGAACAAAAGCGAAACUAUGUUAAAUGCGUUUAAAUUACCAGGCAUAAAGCACAGAGAAGAAAGAUAGAGAGAGAGAAAAAACACAGCUAAAGAGCGCCAUACUGUUCUGGCCGUGUGUCGUUACGUCAUGAGGUGUGCCAGGUGUUCCACUGAUUGUGACAGUGAAGACAGCUAUUGUAGGAGGUGUGGCUACAAGCUCCCCGAGCAACGCUCCUUCGUUUAUCAGAGCACCGUCAGUAUGAGAAUGUCGCAAGGAGCGUUCGUAAAGUCAACCACCGUCAAGAUGACGUCAUCAGGAGGAGGCAGUUUGGAGCAAAGAAGCACCACCAUGAUGAGUAUUGGCACUUCCGGCAGACAGGCAGUACUUCCGGGACUCAGCGGUCGUCUGAUGCUGCUGAAUGUUGCCAAUAAUAAUGAUGAUGAUAGUGAUUAAUGAUCGGCCAUAUAUGUGCCAUGGGGUGCUGAUUUGCGCUAUUCAUUUCUGUUUAUUUGGAAGUAAACUUUACCAAUACACGAGGGGCAUGCAGGCUGUCCCCAAUUGUUGAUGUAUAAUUGAUGAUAAGGAACAAAUCAGGGAACAAGGUCCUGAUAUCAUAAUAAUUGAAACUGUGAUAAGAACUGAUAAGUCAAACCCAAUUUAUGGUGUUAUUAAUGCAAAAGCUUUUAGUGUUAAUUUCUUGCUUUGGGGAGGUAUUUUCACUCUUACAAUACACGAUUGUAUCCAGUUAAAGAUAUAUAUGUUUCACAAAGAUAUAUACGUUUCAUGAAUUGCGUGACAUUGUAUUAUUGUGAGUAUUGAACCUUGAUUGUGACUACAUGUAUCUCUUGCGAAAGAUAAGUUUGUAAUGAUACAUCGUUUGGUUAUUGAUAUAUAGCACGAUGAUACAGCGACACAGAGAAAUCUUGCUGACAUUUUGCGAAGAUCACCAUUGACCUAUUGCGGAUAUUCCAAUGGCUGCAACAGCAACAAACUGCUUUGUCGUCGUGAUUAUACUAUGGCGAAAAAAUAGGUUGUAAAUUGAAGUAACAUAUAAAGAUUGUGUGGCUUCCCAAUAACACACAUUAUUUAUCCACUUCUUCUAGUUUCUUAUACUACACAAUUAAAGUUAACCUGCCAAGGGAUAUAGCGAGUCUUCAAAUCUUCGGUCGUAAAUUUAUCUACUUUUAUCUGACUAAUUUCUCUGUCCCUGUAACCUGCAGAACAGAAAGAAAACAGAAAGCAUUCGUUCAUAUAUCACUUUUCGGGUAAUUUGAAAGUAUUUUCUUUGAUAUUUCUCUAAGUUACACUAUUUGAAAUCAUAGGGUGGCGUUUCAUCGGCUUUUGUGGCAAAAUGUGACUUCAAUUGCAUCUUUAAAGACUUUUUGGGCCUUUAUCUUGUUACCGACACUUUAUCAUCUUAGUCGUAACAUGUUUAAUAAAUAAUCAAAGACAUGUAGUGAUUAUAGCAGGAUUUUGAAUAAAGGAAAAAUGUCAUAACC